rnacentral:lncRNA from 1 species
CAUUCAUGUAAUUCAUUUUAAGCUUAGAAAAAUCACUUUGGCAGCCUUUUGGAGAAUGAGCUGGAAUUGGGAGAUACUUGAGUCAGAGGGACCAAUUAGGAGACUGUUGCAAUAUUUUAUGUGAGAAGUACUGAGGAUCUACCUGAAUGAGCGUUGUGACAGUAUGGAUAAAGAAGAGAUAAAUACAAGACACUGUAGAGUGAACUUGGUCGCCUCACACAGUUUGUGCUAGGUGAUGGUGAAUCUCCAAGAACCCAUUAACAUCCAGAAAUGGAUGGAAUUUAUUAAGAUAAGACAGCAUAUGAUCAAUUAACAGUCACCAACUAUUUUAAUGAUGAAAGGUUGGAUGAUUUCAGGAGGCGGGUCAGAGAUCUAAUCAAUUUUGAAACAGCAUCUGCAAAAAUAGAUUACGUUCAUCUGAAGGGCAACCCAGUCAUGGAGCAACAUGGAGCUUUUUACAGAAUCACACAGCCAUUGAAACUCAAGGAGGAAGAAAUGAGACCAAGCACUUAUUAGGCAUCUGUUAUGUACCAAGCACUCUGGUAAGCACUUUACAAAUAUUCUUUCAUUUGAACUCACAACAUCCCUAUGAAGUAAGUCCUAUCAGGAUUCCCAUAUUGUA